GGAACGACCACUUGCUAUUACUGGCAACCUGCAUCCAAACUGAAUAAUAACAUGUAUCAUGUUUGCGUAACUCAUCUUAAUGGGAAAAGAAGCUGUGUGUGUUCCUUCUUUUCGUUUAAACAUUCACAAAGAUGAAGUACAAAGGUGCUUGUAACUGAAGCCAGCAUCUGGUCAGAGGUGACAAAGUUUGUUUGAUCUUACUGCAACUGUUUUAAAGUUUGAGCUUUUGUCUUGUUUCACAUGUUAUUUAGGAAUAACCAUGGGGAUAAUCACUGUAAAAUAUAUACAGUUUAGUUUUUGGGUAUAUAUCGGGUGGUUCAGUCUUUACCCAGAAG